GACCCCAUAGUCUAGCGGUUAGGACACCAGGUUUUCAUCCUGAUAACACGGGUUCGAGUCCCGUUGGGGUCACCA
rnacentral:tRNA from 1 species